UACGUAGGGUGCAAGCGUUUAAUCGGAAUUACUGGGCGUAAAGCGUGCGCAGGCGGUUUUGUAAGUCUGUCGUGAAAUCCCCGGGCUCAACCUGGGAAUUGCGAUGGAGACUGCAAGGCUAGAAUCUGGCAGAGGGGGGUAGAAUUCCACGUGUAGCAGUGAAAUGCGUAGAGAUGUGGAGGACACCGAUGGCGAAGGCAGCCCCCUGGGCUAA
rnacentral:rRNA from 1 species